rnacentral:precursor_RNA from 15 species
AUACUUCUCCGGAUCCAUUCCAAUUCUGAUUAGUCUCUUCCCUUGAGUGUAGUCCCUGGAAUUCAAUACUAUACUCAGGUUGGGGGCUAAUCAGGGUGGAGUACAGACAAAGAAGAAAUCA